ensembl:lncRNA
AGCGAUGAUGAAUAGGAAAUGUUCUCUAUUUCUCACCAUGUCUUUGCAUUUGUAGCUUCUGUCUUCAGAGUCCACCUACACAGUGCUUCAAAAACAUUACAGUUUGGGGCUCUUAAAGAACUGGCUUGCUGAUUCGAGUGCAACCUAUCGCUGGCUCAGUCUCCAUGGAAUGGGCAAUGUAGCUCAUCAUCUGCAAAGUAAGAAAGAAUUCACUACCCUAAUCCUCAGUAUCCUCCCAAGUUUUGAUGACUCUGAUGAGAAGGUGGCCUUGACAGCGAUGGAGGUCAUAACGAAGGUCAUGGUGCAACAGAAGAUCAAUGUCAACUUAUAUGUGAAAAUUACCAAGCAGCUUCAGCCAUUCCUGGCCGAUGGGAGGAACAAAGUAAGCUGUGCUGCAAAUAAAUUGUUUCAAGACAUACUUAAGAACAUAGAUGCAAAAGACAAGUAUGCUAUGCAAGACCAGGUUCUCACUGCUAUUGUUACACUGAUGGUGAAUCUGCAAGAACUAAAUCUGGAUGUAGCCAAGGUAAAUGAAAUUAUGACUGUUAGCAAUUUAACAUUUGCUGCCAAAUGUACUUCAUGAGGGCUGAAAUCUAAACACUGAAAAUAGAGAAUAAAUGUCCCAGCCUCCUGAGUCAAGGAUACAAUCAUUCCGCAUCCACUGGUACUGAAACGUAAUUCUGUGUCCCAAAAGGAAUAGCCCUACCCUCAGACAGAGUAGAGUGGCUACCACAGACAGCAUAGCAUGUAAAGGUAAAGUUUUCCCCUGACGUUAAGUCCAGUCAUGUCUGACUCUGGGGGUUGGUGCUCAUCUCCAUUUCUAAUCCAAAGAGCCGGUGUUGUCCAUAGACACCUCCAAGGUCAUGUGGCUGGCAUGACUGCAUGGACCACCGUUACCUUCCCACUGGAGCGGUACCUAUUGAUCUACUCACAUUGGCAUGUUUUCGAACUGCUAGGUUGGCAGGAGCUGGAGCUAACAGCGGCCACUCACGCCGCUCCCGGGGUUUGAAUCUUGGACCUUUCGGUCUCCAGCUCAGUGCUUUAACACACUUCGCCACCAGGGCUCCUAUUUGAGAGGGCAGUAAAUUCUUGGUUUAAUAGUUCUUGUUGGUAUUAUUACUACCAAAGACAAAGAGAGCCACUGCAGGCUUUUCUCCUCCUGUGCCAGGAUAAUUGGGCUAGUUUUGAGUAUUGUGCUCAUCAGGAAGCUAUAUGACUUGGGCUGACUCUGUGUUACAGAACAAUUUGACUAUACCUUUCAAGGGACCACCCAGAUGAGGGUUUGGGCUUACUUGGUAUAAGUUAAAUGUUACACUUUCCCAUAACAGUUCAUUAAAAUAAUGUCACCAAAAUGGUACCCAGUCACAAUAGAGUCCUGAAUUAAGGCUGAGUGUAACAGAUCUUGCCUACCUUACAAGGUUGGUAAGUGGCCCACCUUACCAACCUUGUGUGCAACCAUUUUGUAAGCAGGGCUGAUGGUGCAGCCAUUUUACAGACCUUACUUGCAGAAGCUCAGCAGAGCAUGGGGGAGGAGCAGACAAGCGGCCAUUACAAUAGGUGCAAUCUGAUUGGCUGAUGCAAACGAAAGUUGUUUAGCAAUUGGAGAUGGCAGAGCCAAAGUGACAGUUGGAGCCAGGGAGUCAGGGAAUUCUUUUUCAGUUAGGGCUUGGAAUUCAGACAGUUAAGAGUUAGGACUGGGAAUUCAGUCAGUUAGCAGUUGGGUUUUGGAAUUCAGUCAGUUGGGAACUGUGUUUUUAAAAAGAAGCCUCUUUGAGGAAAUAUAGUUAAAGUCUUCAGGAAAGGAAGGACUGAAAACUAUAUUUGUGAAUUCUAUAGUCUAGAGUGUUUGCUGUUUAAAUCCCAGGAGAACUAGAUUUAAAAGUAAAUAAUCCUAUUUGUGUUUCCUUGGUGAAGGAACAUAUUUACACAACAACCCAGUUCUAUAAGCAUCCUUCGAAGACAAAAGCCUAUGCCUUUAAUGAAUCCAUUAAGCAUUUUUACUGUUCAAUGUUAAUGAAACCAUCACACAUACUUAUUGUUCAAACUACAAAUAAACAAUUUCUUGUUUCUCCUCACAUAAAGUGUCACAUGUCUCUCUCUCUAUAUCCUAACCUAGAAGAGGCUCCUGGAUACCUCUACCAUUUAUAGAGGUAGCGAGUUCAAAUCCUCUACAUAUUGGUGGCAGCAAAAAUAAAAGCCUUUGCAAUUCUGGCAAUUUGAAAAAUCCUCUCUGUUACAUAUUGAUGAAACCCCAAAUCCUCUAUACUGAGCUAUUGGGAACCCCUGAGAUCACUGUGCCGUGAGCAUGAGUAUGAAAAUGCAGUCGGCCCUCCACAUUCAUUGAUGUUAGGGGCGCAGGAACCAUGUGAAAAGGGAAUAACUGCAAAUAUUGUACAGUGGGAGUAGAUGGCUCCUGGUUGUGGUGAGCACAGAGAAAUACGCGCCUGGCUGCUGGCUCCAAAGCCUGCAGUUAUGAGCACAUUCUCAAGGCAGUCUUGUCUUCAGGAAGUGGGGGGAAGGAAAUCAAGCCUGCCUCCUAAAGAUAGAGCUGCCCUGUAAAUAUUCACACAGCAGCUCUAGCCUAAGGAGGUGGACGGGUCGGGUGUGAUCAUUGCUGCUGUCCAUUUCCUGAUGUCUGAAUGGUAACAGGAUAGUCCCAUCUUCAGAAAAUGGGCACAAUGCAGGCAGUGAACCCUCUCUUCCUCACCCACCUCCUAAGGAAGGGACUGCUGUGUGAAUGUGCAUAUAGUCCAGUAUGUGAUGCUCUUGGCAGGACAGAAAAAAAGAGAAAAGCAAUGGAGGGAGGUUAAUCUAAUUAAGGUCAAAGAGAGUGGCCACUCAAGCUGGACCUACAUCUACAUUGCCACAUAAGCCAAUUCA